rnacentral:rRNA from 1 species
UACGGAGGGUGCAAGCGUUAUCCGGAUUCACUGGGUUUAAAGGGUGCGUAGGCGGGCAGGUAAGUCCGUGGUGAAAUCUCCAAGCUUAACUUGGAAACUGCCGUUGAUACUAUCUGUCUUGAAUACUGUGGAGGUGAGCGGAAUAUGUCAUGUAGCGGUGAAAUGCUUAGAUAUGACAUAGAACACCAAUUGCGAAGGCAGCUCACUACACAGCCAUUGACGCUGAGGCACGAAAGCGUGGGGAUCAAACAGG